UUUAAGGCGAUGAAGGACAUCAGUAGGAAGCGUGACGUUAAAGCCCAGAGAGCCGGUGGUUGGUGCGAACCGGCUGGCGCCGCUUGUUGAAUUACCGUCCAGAGCCAAACGGAGGAACGGGGCCGGCCCCUCAGUAGUCCGUUUCGGAGUGAAGCUCCGUUAUCAAGCAACGAAGUGAGAGCGCGUCGAUUCCAAUAAGUAUGUGUUCAGAAAGGUCAUGUGUCGUGAUCAAAAAUGGACUUUUUGAACUAUCUUAGCUGGCUCAGACAUGUCUCUAACGAGGGUGGUACCGCGAGCUAAUCCUUCUCGUCCCUUGG
rnacentral:ncRNA from 1 species